UUUACAUGCUCACAGUGGAAAUCGGCAGUUCGUUAAAGUUACUGUUGCAAAUUUGUAUACUUUAGCAAUCACCUUUGUAAAGAAGCGUUAGAGUUGUGACAAAGUUGUGUGCGUUGUGUAUGCGAUUUAAAGAUACAAAACGCCGUGCAAGCGCAGUGGACACGCCAUCCAGUAUGAUCCGUGCAAUCCCUUCAUCAAGUUAAAUAGCCUACUUCGUGUAUCCAGAUAUUAGACAAAGUCCAAGAACAUCGACAUGUGUCCCCAGUCCAGAAAUAUUUACAUGGAACCGAAUGAUGAACGAGCCUUCUUAUAACACGUCUGAAAUGUAGCCGGUAAUGACAAGGUGCAUUCUAUAUUAACUAUACGGUGUCUUACCAAUAAAGAAGAAAGACACGACACAUAUGCGCUGUCCUUUUACACUUUAUGUCUGGGUCUAUGUUCAUUUAUUGACCUUGGGCAGUUGCGAUUUCCUAAUUAAUCACAGGCCUGUGUAUAAAAUAUACACUCUUCAGUAUGUACCUUAAUUUUCAAUUGCAUUCGUUUUAAAUGUAACAUCCGGUUAAACAAACAAUAAAUGUUUCAUUAACAAUCACAUUUAGCCCUAGAUUCAUAUUCAUGUCACAGUAUAUUUCUCUUAUCUUAAAAAUGCUGACACCGUUUACUUUACAUUCUUUUAUUUAACUUUGAUACAUUGGAAUCGCUAACAUUAAAUAAUUAGGUUCGUUUUUAAGAACACUAUGUCAUGUAUUUGUUUCAAAACUCGAAACCCAAGCAGAAGAAUCGAGAUAUGCAAUAACCGGUGGGCCUUUCGACUGCAAGGAAUUCAGUUUUGUUAACAACUCUUCUGUAACCAAAACUGUUUUCUUAGAUUCUUGAUCUGUGCAUUUCCGAACAAAACUGAUCUAGUUGUUAAAAAUGGUAAAUGUAAGUAAGAAACGCAUCUAAAUACUCAGGUGAACGUGUGCACAUGCUGGUGUAUAUGUUAAAAAGUUUCAUCACUAUUAAUGUUUUAAUUUUCUGGAUACGAAACCACAAAUUAGCAUCCAGGCGAGUUCUAUGUUCGGUGUUUUAAUGAAGUAUUGUUCUGUCUGAAAUUGCAUUUGUUUCAUUCAUUUUUGUUAAAGUAAUUCAACGUGUUUGUGUUACUCAACGUUUUGUAUGUAAAACUUUUUAUAUUCUAUAGUAAUUUUUCGCCAAAAUAAAGCACUGUUUCAAAUAAGCACGCUUUUAUUUAUCAUCGUAAUUGGUGGAGUUGUUAUUUUAAGCGCAUGUCGUUAAUUCCUUUUUACAUUUAGGUCAACUGAAUUGCAUGACUAGCUUAUCAACAACAUGCGCGAAAUGAUACUUUUGCGCAUGCGAGCAUCGUGAUAUUCUAGAUACAAUUAUGAUUAUAUAUGCUUUUUACAAAAUACCUCAACUGUACAAUGACAAAAACAUGCUCCAUAAUGUGACCGUUUUCUUUGAUUGCAGAUCGUUUAUGUGCAAAAAAGUCAGCUUCACAAAUGUGUUAUAAGGAGAGUUUAAUCAGGCAAUUUAAAUAUCGGGUUUCCAUGUCAUUUUCGGAAUUAUUUUUUAUUACAACCACGUCUGAAUUAUGUAAUGAACUAUUUACAGCAAGUCGGUCGCUAUUUUAAUACAAACCACAUUAUUCCUAAAGUUCAAAUCUGCCAUGGUUACUGCAAUAAAAGGUUUAAAUAAUUAUGUAAAAAUAUUAAAUAAUGCAAGAUAACCAUACCCGAAAUUCCAACACUACUAAACAUUACAAACAUAUAAUCAUGAUCUUUAGGCACAUUGGUUUACGACAAGAACAUACUAAGUCGUUUUUUACAUAAUUAUGCUUUUGUUAUCCAUUAAAUCAUGUGCAUAAAAAUGUAUAAGUUGCACAAAAUAAUUAUUUGUCAAUGUUUGUUUCACUUUUUCAAAGUAUUGCAAAAUGAUUCUAUAUACACGCUGGUAUGUUGCAUUUUCAUUUAAAAGACAGGCAUAACAAAUACUUGCAUGAACCUUUUAUUGCUAUUUUUAACCCGUAAUCACGUUUUGUAUUUUGGGUAUGUCUACUAUUUAACGGUUAAUAUAGGGAUCUUUACUACUAAAACGUUAACAUUACCAUAGCAAAGUUAAAAUGAUGUAAGCAAAAAUGGCUUUGUUAUGUCUGAAUUCGCAAAUCCUAUUUGCUCGUACUAGCAUAGUCCUGUUUUUUUCGCUUGCUUGCUCGGUCAGUUUUAAAAUAAAAGUUAACAGUUUAGUGUGCACAUAAGAUAGUAUUAUUGUUAUGCUAGUUUUUAAUGUCGUAAGGUGGCAUGAAAACCGCCCUUAACAUGGAAAAUAUAGCAAUGUACGUUAAAUGCAUUAAUAAAACUACAACUUAUUUUAAUAUGAAGUUGUUAGCAAUCUAUACAACCGUACUCGGCAUUUUACAUUUUCAAGCAAGCCAUUUAUAUGAUUGUUGCGUUCAGUAUAAUGAAGAUGUUCAUUUGAAAUUAAAUAAAUAUGUCAGCUGAAACGCAUUCGGACGAUCGAUUCCUAUGAUUUAACAUUGAGUAUUAAAGAUUAUCCUUAAUUAGAUUUGCUUCGAUGGCAAAACGCAACAUUGCAUUGCAUCAGCGAUUGUACAUCGGUAAUGUGUGUUUAUUUUACAUUAAACAAGCAAUUGAACAAUAAAUAACUAGUGUAUUGAAUUGGAGAUUUAACUGUUUGAUCUCGAAUUACUGGAUUAUGUUUAGAAAUGAGUGCAUAUUUUACAUUUCCAUUUUGCAUCAAUACAUUGCACUUCGACGGUUUUUCGACCUCUUCAGGUUAAGGCAGUUAUACACGUUAUUAUUUACAAUUAGAAGUUUCCAUUACUAUCUUUAUAUACCCGUGUAGAAAAUGUCAAUGUUACUAGGUGUGAUUAUGUUUCAUGUACAAUGCUUAUGUCCCUUGUCUUGUAUGUGUCCUUUUACAUCUCUUGUGUGAUUCAGUCCAUUGUCCUGUGUGCGUCCAGCCAUGUACUUUGAUGUCAUACUUGUUUUGUCCAGUGAGAAUGAGAAUUAUCAAAUAAACAAGAUUUGUAUUGGUCAGUUAAAAAAAACUAGUAAAAUUCAGUUCAAAUUACUGACCAUGCGUCCAAUUGCUUCUAGGCUGUCGAAAGACAUACUUGUUUCAACAAUAGUACUGUGGUUUUUGUAUCUACCAAACUGGUUAGUUUUAAAUUAUUUGUAUUUUGAAAUUAUGUUUUUAUCUGCAUAGAAAAUGAAUUUAAUUUUUUUGAAAUAUUGUAUUUAUGUUU